rnacentral:lncRNA from 1 species
UGGAAAUAUGACUAUUAAAGGACAACGAUAAUGCAAGAAACAUAUCUUGCAUAUAAGUUUGACAUGACCAUAAUGGUAUAACUUUCUAUUUAAGAAAGAUAUUCACCACAUGGAUGUUGAUGAAUCUGUGGCAGUAUAAAAUUAAUUGAGAGCUCUAGAAGAGCCAAUUAUUACUAUUUUGGAGAAACACAAUUGAUUAUCGAUAAGGUAUUGUAUUGUAGCAAGUCUCAAAUAAACUUAUUCAGUUUCCAAAGUAUACGC